CUGACUUCAGUGUUAGAUCAGGUUGCUCAGGGGCUUACUCUAAUAAGUUUAGAAAAUUUCCAAGCAUGGGGAUUCCAUAACCUCUUGGGUGACUUUUAGCACAAUAAUUUAAACACAAUGAAACUUCAAAAGUUUAAAGUUGGCCAAGAGAAGAAACAUUAUUGGAAGAUGUCCAACAACAGAGCGAGCUCCUUUAGGAAGUUUUCAUCACCAAGAUCCCACAUGGAGAAGGAAGAGAGGAGAAGGACAUGGGUGAACACACAAAGGGUAUAAAAAAUGUGGAAAUGGCAAAGUAUUAAGACUACAAGGAAGAAUAAAGUUGAUACUCAUAUGUCCAUGAAACGGAACACAAUGAGAGACGAAAGCUCCUGAAUUUUCAUGAAGUUCUACUCCUUCACUUUUUCAUUUUCUGUAGUCCGUCCUGCUGUCUAUGACAAUAUUGAGUUCAUGUAGGGAUCUUUUUAGAUUUAGCCCUAUGUUUGGAGCUCACAUUUAUGUGGCUGAAAAUAUAUCCUUUUAUUCUUUGACAGAAAUUAGAUUCAUGUAGUCAUGCCUUUUUUUUUUUUUUUUUUUCUGGACUCUUGUUAUUUUGAAUUUGUGUAUAAUCCUCCUGUAUGCUACAUCUGGAAGCCCUUUUAUACUAAUAAUCUCAUUAAACAUGACUUCAGUCAAAAACAUUCCCUCUCCUGAAUUCUGUACCGUUAAUAUUGUUUUCACGGCUUCUGAACAGUGGUGUCCUGCUGGGCCA